rnacentral:rRNA from 1 species
CGCUACAACGCCGAAAUGACCUUCUCACCCUUGUGUACUCACUAUGUUGCUUUGGCGGGUCGACCUGGUUCCGACCCAGGCGGCCGGCGCCCCCAGCCUUAACUGGCCAGGACGCCCGGCUAAGUGCCCGCCAGUAUACAAAACUCAAGAAUUCAUUUUGUGAAGUCCUGAUAUAUCAUUUAAUUGAUUAAAACUUUCAACAACGGAUCUCUUGGUUCUGGCAUCGAUGAAGAACGCAGCGAAAUGCGAUAAGUAAUGUGAAUUGCAGAAUUCAGUGAAUCAUCGAAUCUUUGAACGCACAUUGCGCCCUCUGGUAUUCCGGAGGGCAUGCCUGUUCGAGCGUCAUUUCAACCCUCAAGCUCUGCUUGGUAUUGGGCAACGUCCGCUGCCGGACGUGCCUUGAAGACCUCGGCGACGGCGUCCUAGCCUCGAGCGUAGUAGUAAAAUAUCUCGCUUUGGAGUGCUGGGCGACGGCCGCCGGACAAUCGACCUUCGGUCUAUUUUUCCCAAGG